rnacentral:lncRNA from 1 species
AUUAAGGGAGUAGUUUACACUUCACACGAGGAGGAGUAGUUGUCUGUGUAUUGGAACAUGAAUGGGGUGAAUUUACUAUUAUUAAAAGAUAUAUUGCACAAUUGAAAAUUAAUUACAUUUAUAAGUGACACUUUUCUCAACUACUAAUAAUAAGACAUAUAGGAUGGGUCACUUGACCCAAUUUUAUGAAAUGGGUACUCAAGUUGUCACC